CUUGUUUCCCUGUGUGUAGUUUUGUGCCUAUAGCCUUUUCAGGUGGUAUCCCACUUGUUCCAAGGACAUUUGGUGUAUCUGUCUUGUGAGUUUCAUGAUUUGUUCCCGCAGUUCGUGUGAGGGAGUUAUUUGGUUUUGUGUCGUGACACGCUGGAGGUCUGUUUGGCAUGUGUGGAGCUGAAGGCGGGAUUUCCGUUUUAAGUAUGCUGCCCGCUGUAUCAGUUGCCCCCGUAUCACCGAU